rnacentral:SRP_RNA from 1 species
GCCGGGUGUGGUGGCUCACGCCUGUAAUCCCAGCACUUUGGGAGGCUGAGGUGGGCGGAUCACCUGAGGUCGGGAGUUCGAGACCAGCCUGACCAACAUGGAGAAACCCCGUCUCUA